CCGGGGGCUGUGCGAACGCAGGUCGACAGCGUGCAAAGCCUGUCUGCGCAGCUACCUGACACGAUCUGCAGAGCAACUGUAGCCCUCACACCUAAGAAACCACGUCUCGGAGCAGGACGGGGACGAGCCUGACGUCCCAUAAGGAGCGAGAGACAGACCAGGACCUGCCCUCGUGACCCUGGGCCCCGUUGCUACAGAAGCUGCUCUCGGACGAAGCUUCCCCCGCCGACAAGCCAGCGUCUGCGAACCCGGAUCAGCACCCAGAGAUGCCGGGCCGCGGGGUGACCGGGACGGGCCUCGGGGAGGAGGAGACUCAACUGUGAUUGCAAAAGACGUAGGGCGCUGGUCUGAGGAGUCCUCUUUACAGGCAGAGGAGGAACAAGGUCCUUCUUCCAGGGGAGUGGCAGGCGGUCCAAGGACAGAGCCGACCCCUGGCCUCUGUGGCGGGUCCCGCAGCGUCUGCCCUGGGCCCUGUCUGUUCCCAGGAGGGAGCCCAGUGGAAAAUUUUGAGCUGCG